UCACGCAUGCGCACGAGGGUUCAAGCAUGUCUGACGUAAAAACAUAUGAAUGAAAUCCAUAUAGUUUUUGAAAAAAAUAAAAAGGACCUAUACUUUAUGGACAGCCCUUGUAUAUGUGUCCCCAAAAAGACUAUGGUUAAAUGUGUACAAAAUGUAGGGGGUUAGGGUUGGGUGUGAGGUCCUGUAUGAGGUUGGUAGUCCAGGGUUAGGUUAUCUUUAGACGUGUAAAUUGGUGUCCAAUUUGGUUUAAAUGGGCUUAGGGUCGGGCUAAGAUUAGGAAUGGGGUUGGGAGUAGGGUUAAGGUUAGGGCCAGAGGUUAUGGCGGGGAUUAGGAUUAGGUUAACCUAAAUUGGGUUGAGGUUAGGGCCAAGGGUUAAGGUUAGGGCCAGGGGUUAAAGUUAGGGGUUAAGAUUAGGUUAAGUCAGGUUGGGUUAGGGUUAAAGUUAGGGUUUCGGCCCCUCCACGGGGUCGAAGGUGCAUGGGCUCUGCCACGAUCAGAAAGCUCCCCGUCGGGUCGGGGCUGGGGUUUAAAGUGGCGUUUAUAACGCCCCUGAAUCCAGUCAGACAUCAUGUAAUAGGACAAUCAGGUUAAAUCAGACCACAAUUUGGUAUAAUAAAAAUAAAAUGCACAGGAAAAAUGAAAAAUCAACAGGUGGGAGACGUGCAAUGAGGAGGGAAGAGAAAAAAAAUGAAAAAAAGCAAGGAAAUGUCUGCAAAAAAUAGAAAAAAAUGGUGCAAACGUGCUUCAGUCGCGACGUUUCGGUCUCAAAAGACCUUCAUCAGGCGUGAAGCACUUAAUUUUCAGUCUUUAAAAAGACUGUGGUUCUGUGUGGAGCAGCUGGUUUUGCAGUCCUCUCUCAUCCGAGUUUGGAUUUGAAAAUGACAGCUGGUGGCUGUGAGUGGCUCUUUUUGAGGGUGGGUGGAGUCAGCACUCUGGGCUUGUGUGAGAAAGUUUUUAGAAUGUUUUUUUUUUUAGAAAAAAUAAAAAGAGAAAACAUUUAGAAAAGACAAAAAGGGGGGGGGAAGAGGGGGAGAAAUUGAAAAAAAGCAAUUGGAGAAAAAAGGUGGAGCAGGAUUCCAGGCCGGAGAUCUGAAGGGCUUCCAGUCCAUGUGCCAGGAAGUGGCACACAUUUUGUGUUUGUGUUGGGGGUGCAAACCCAACAGUUUUUUCUUGGCGCCCAACGUGGGGCAUUGGC